rnacentral:rRNA from 1 species
UAGGGAAUCUUCGGCAAUGGACGACAGUCUGACAGAGCAACGCCGCGUGAGUGAAGAAGGUUUUCGGAUCGUAAAACUCUGUUGUUAGAGAAGAACAAGGACGUUAGUAAUUGAACGUCCCCUGACGGUAUCUAACCAGAAAGCCACGGCUAACUACGUGCCAGCAGCCGCGGUAAUACGUAGGUGGCAAGCGUUGUCCGGAUUUAUUGGGCGUAAAGCGAGCGCAGGCGGUUUCUUAAGUCUGAUGUGAAAGCCCCCGGCUCAACCGGUGAGGGGCAUUGGAAUCUGGGAGUCUUGAGGGCCGAAGAGGAGAGUGGAAGUCCAUGUGUAGCGGUGAAAUGCGUAGAUAUAUAGAGGAACACCAGUGGAGCAGGCGGCUCACUGGUCUGUAGCUGACGCUGAGGCUCGAAGGCGUGGGGGGCAAACAGG